AGACGUCGGGGGAAGCGACCCUCCCGGUGUCGUCGCUAACGAAGAAAGUGUUCCGCCUGGGGAGCACGGCCGCAAGGCUGAUACACAMAGGAAUCGWUCGGGGCCCGCACAAGCGGUGGAGCAGGUUGUAUUAUUGCYGAAGCAAACGCGAAGAACCCCWCYCAGGGCUGUUCASGUUGUUGAUAAGCCGGGGUAAACACCCGGCCCCUCUUCCGGCGCCAGCACAGGUGUGGCAUGUCCGUCGNCAGCUCGCKUCGWUWGAUGUUUGGUUAAGUCCCGCAACGAGCGCAAACUCUCUGCUCUCCAGUUUUCCAGGCGGAUUCGGCCGGGGACUCUUUGGGGGACUUCCGGCGUUUAGCCGGAGGAAGGUUGGACGACGUUAAGUCAUUAUGGCCCUUACGUCCAGGCGACACACGUUCUACAAAUUCCUGGUACAAACCCGUCGCGAACUCGCAAAGAGGGAGCCAAUCGCCAAAAAGCCGGGCUUAAGUUCGGAUUGUCGUCUGCAACUCGACGGCAUGAAGCCGGAAUCGCUAGUWAAUCGCGGAUCCAGCCAUGCCGCGGUGAAUACGUCCCCGGGCCUUGUACAACAACCCGC
rnacentral:rRNA from 1 species